CCUACGGGAGGCUGCAGUGAGGAAUAUUGGUCAAUGGCCGUAAGGCUGAACCAGCCAAGUCGCGUGAAGGAAGAAGGAUCUAUGGUUUGUAAACUUCUUUUAUAGGGGAAUAAAGGUAUCCACGUGUGGCUAUUUGCAUGUACCCUAUGAAUAAGCAUCGGCUAACUCCGUGCCAGCAGCCGCGGUAAUACGGAGGAUGCGAGCUUUAGCCGGAUUUAUUGGGUUUAAAGGGUGCGUAGGUUGUUUUUUAAGUCAGCGGUGAAAGUUUGUGGCUCAACCAUAAAAUUGCCGUUGAAACUGGAAGACUUGAGUGUGUUUGAGGUAGGCGGAAUGCGUGGUGUAGCGGUGAAAUGCAUAGAUAUCACGCAGAACUCCGAUUGCGAAGGCAGCUUACUAAGCCAUAACUGACACUGAAGCACGAAAGCGUGGGGAUCAAACAGGAUUAGAUACCCCUGUAGUC
rnacentral:rRNA from 1 species